rnacentral:rRNA from 1 species
GACGAACCGAGCGAACGUUGUUCGGAAUCACUGGGCUUAAAGGGCGCGUAGGCGGGUGCUCAAGUCCGUGGUGAAAUCCUCCGGCUCAACCGGAGAACUGCCUCGGAUACUGGGCGUCUCGAGUGUGGUAGGGGUAUGCGGAACUAUCGGUGGAGCGGUGAAAUGCGUUGAUAUCGAUAGGAACUCCGGUGGCGAAGGCGGCAUACUGGACCACCACUGACGCUGAUGCGCGAAAGCGUGGGGAGCGAACAGG